GGUCAAGCUACAAAGGGCGCAUGGUGAAUGCCUUGGCAUCAGGAGCCGAUGAAGGACGUGAUAAGCUGCGAUAAGCUUCGGGUAGGCGCACAU
rnacentral:rRNA from 1 species